ACGCACGCUGGCGGCAUGCCUCACACAUGCAAGUCGCACGCGACCUUCGGGUCUAGUGGCGCACGGGUGCGUCACGCGUGGGAACCUGCCCUUAGGUUCGGAAUAACUCCCCGAAAGGGGUGCUAAUACCGGAUAAUGUCUUCGGACCAAAGAUUUAUCGCCUUUGGAUGGGCCCGCGUUGGAUUAGCUAGUUGGUAGGGUAAAAGCCUACCAAGGCGACGAUCCAUAGCUGGUCUGAGAGGAUGAUCAGCCACACUGGGACUGAGACACGGCCCAGACUCCUACGGGAGGCAGCAGUGGGGAAUAUUGGACAAUGGGCGAAAGCCUGAUCCAGCAAUGCCGCGUGAGUGAUGAAGGCCUUAGGGUUGUAAAGCUCUUUUACCCGGGAUGAUAAUGACAGUACCGGGAGAAUAAGCUCCGGCUAACUCCGUG
rnacentral:rRNA from 1 species